rnacentral:hammerhead_ribozyme from 1 species
GUCCAGCUGAUAAGUCCUAAAUGGGACGAAACGUGCGUCCUGGAU